CGGUUGCUCCUGCCGGACCCUACUGCUAUCGGGGUAGGACUAAGACAUGCGAGUCGAGCGUCUCUAAAGCUAUGUGUUAAAGACGCGGCGUACGGCUCAGUAACACGUGGCUAACCUACCCUUAGGACAGGGGACUACCCCGGGAAACUGGGGCUAAUACCCGAUAGAUGAGGAGGCCUGGAAUGGUUCCUAGUCGAAAAGGCGUUGAAACCAUGCUUUUCGACGUCGCCUAAGGAUGGGGCCGCGCCCGAUCAGGUUGUUGGUGGGGUAACGGCUCACCAAGCCUAUAACCGGUACGGGCCGUGAGAGCGGGAGCCCGGAGAUGGGCACUGAGACAAGGGCCCAGGCCCUACGGGGCGCAGCAGUCGCGAAAACUCCGCAAUGCGCGAAAGCGUGACGGGGCUACCCCGAGUGCCGUCCGCUGAGGAUGGCUUUUCCCCGGUGUAAUGAGCCGGGGGAAUAAGGAGAGGGCAAGUCUGGUGUCAGCCGCCGCGGUAAUACCAGCUCUCCGAGUGGUAGGGAUGAUUAUUGGGCUUAAAGCGUCCGUAGCCGGCUUAGCAAGUCUCCUGUUAAAUUCAGCGACCUAAUCGUUGAGCCGCGGGAGAUACUACUAGGCUAGGAGGCGGGAGAGGCCGACGGUAUUCUCGGGGUAGGGGUGAAAUCCUAUAAUCCCGGGAGGACCACCAGUGGCGAAGGCUGUCGGCUAGAACGCGCUCGACGGUGAGGGACGAAAGCUGGGGGAGCGAACCGGAUUAGAUACCCGGGUAGUCCCAGCUGUAAACGAUGCGGGCUAGGUGUUGGGGUGGCUACGAGCCACUUCAGUGCCGCAGGGAAGCCAUUAAGCCCGCCGCCUGGGGAGUACGGCCGCAAGGCUGAAACUUAAAGGAAUUGGCGGGGGAGCAC
rnacentral:rRNA from 1 species